GAUGAACGCUGGCGGCGUGCUUAACACAUGCAAGUCGAACGGAAAGGCCAGUGCUUGCACUGGUGCUCGAGUGGCGAACGGGUGAGUAACACGUGGGUGAUCUGCCCUGCACUUUGGGAUAAGCCUGGGAAACUGGGUCUAAUACCAGAUAGGACCAUGCUUUGGAUGGUGUGGUGGAAAGUUUUUUCGGUGUGGGAUGAGCUUGCGGCCUAUCAGCUUGUUGGUGGGGUAAUGGCCUACCAAGGCGUCGACGGGUAGCCGGCCUGAGAGGGUGUACGGCCACAUUGGGACUGAGAUACGGCCCAGACUCCUACGGGAGGCAGCAGUGGGGAAUAUUGAACAAUGGGCGCAAGCCUGAUGCAGCGACGCCGCGUGGGGGAUGACGGCCUUCGGGUUGUAAACUCCUUUCGCAACUGACGAAGCUUUUUGUGACGGUAGGUUGAGAAGAAGCACCGGCUAACUACGUG
rnacentral:rRNA from 1 species